rnacentral:rRNA from 1 species
UACGGAGGGGGCUAGCGUUGUUCGGAAUUACUGGGCGUAAAGCGCACGUAGGCGGAUUGGAAAGUUGGGGGUGAAAUCCCCGGGCUCAACCCGGGAACUGCGUCCGAUACUGGAAGGCUUGAAUCCGGGAGAGGGAUGUGGAAUUCCAGGUGUAGCGGUGAAAUGCGUAGAUAUCUGGAGGAACACCGGUGGCGAAGGCGACAUCCUGGACCGGUAUUGACGCUGAGGCGCGAAAGCCAGGGGAGCAAACGGG